rnacentral:rRNA from 1 species
UACGGGGGGCAGCAGUGGGGAAUAUUGCACAAUGGGCGAAAGCUGAUGCAGCGACGCCGCGUGAGGGAUGACGGCCUUCGGGUUGUAAACCUCUUUCAGCAGGGACGAAGCGCAAGUGACGGUACCUGCAGAAGAAGCACCGGCUAACUACGUGCCAGCAGCCGCGGUAAUA